rfam:Neochlamydia sp. EPS4 DB42_BR, whole genome shotgun sequence.
UAGGGAAGGCCCCUAGUAACCGAUGACUUAGGCAUAGGUUACAAACCACCUUAAGCUGCAUGGGUAAAGAGCCCAUGUGGUGAGCGUUAAGGAAAAGGUAUAGCAAGACUAUAUCAGGU